AUUUCCUCAGACCAUGAAGCAGGAGUUCGAGCUAGUACUGAACUCACCAGCUCCUUGUGGCAGCCAACAGCAUGGAGGAAGAAGCAUAGGAGACUUGAGUGACAUGGGGUUCUAUCGAGAGAUCAUUAGAUGGUUCCCUGGUGACUGAUGUGUACAGUAAAUCUAUGUCCACGAAUUCCCUACUAUAUGCCAGUUCAGCUCAUCCUGGUGAAGAAGCAGGUGCGAAAACGCGUUUGGGGCUGAGUAGGAAUAUAUAUAUCUUCACUGUAUGCUGUUGCCUGCGCAGUCGAUGGAAUGGACAAUCAGAACAAGCUCUGGAAGAUGAAUAUAUAAUGUGAAAUUGAUAACCUAAUAUGGGGGAUUAUUAAUAUAUUUGGAUAAACUAUAGCAUUUAGGGGGGUAUUGUGAUGUAUAAUAAGGGAAAUGUUAUGAGAAUUGCGUGUUAUACACGAAUUGUAUGUUUACACUAGUUUGGCACACUGGCACUUUAUUUUAUAUGAUACAGAGAUUUUGAAAUAUCACAAUUGAUAAUAUGUAUAAUAAAUAUAUUUUAAUAAUAUGUAUAAUAAAUAUAUUUUUUUAGCACAAUGAUUAUGAUGGUAUGUGAAUAAUGGUGUUAAGUUAAUUAUGUUAUGUGUAUAUUAAUGUAAUGCGAAAUCUGAGGGACACAUCAUUUAGUUAUAAAUGGAAAGAAUGAUAAUGAUAAUUGUAGUGGUGGGAGCCACAAAUGCAAUAAACUGAUAUUAUAAUUAGGUAAUAAUAAUCAUAAAAUAAGAUAAUUUAGUAUGAAAUAAUGAUGCGUUUUUUUCAGAUGCCACAGUUAUGUAAUCAUUAUAGCACAUAAUCCACACUAUGCACUUUAUAGCACUGUCACUUUAAUUAGUUCAUAGUUAUUUUAGGGAUAUGAUGAUACAUGGCCAAGUUUGAGUAUACCUGAGAUGGGUCCCUAUAUCAGUGUGUUUGCUGAUCACAAUUGUGCGCACAACGGCAAUGUACAGUGGGAGCGCUGGAUCCCGCGGCGACUAGUAGUGCACUACAACUGUCUGGCAGAGAUACUGCUGGAGCAUGCGCAGAGGCAUGAUGAUGCUAGCAGACUCCGGCGUGAUGUCUCGCGUGAUGUGCGCCCGAAUAAUGGAAGUAACGUGCAAGCUAAACAGUAUAUAUAAGGAGGGUGAGGACAAACAAAUAGUGUGCCCCCUGAGGAAGGAGCCGAAACAGCUGUUGGGGUAGCGGAGGCAAACAGACACAGUCCCACAUGGGGGAGAACAUUCCUCCAAGCCUGAGAAACGUUGGCUGCAUUGCGAGAUGUGAUCGAAAAGGCUUCUUUCUGAUUUCCAGGACUUUGGCCAUGUGUGAUAUUGUAGAUCCACUUUUCAAGUU